UGUUUGUUGAGUUCGCUGCAGACUGCAGUGUAUCAUCCACGCAGCAGAGAAGGUGAUCGACUGUAGUCUGCCAUCCCUACAGGACCUGCACACCUCCAGGGCCCUGAGGAGAGCAAGGACAAUAGUGGCUGAUCCCUCCCACCUAGGACACAAACUUUUUGUCACCCUCCCCUCUGGCAGGAGGCUGAGGUCCAUCAGGACUAAAACCUCAAGACACAAAAACAGCUUAUUUCCAUCCGCAGCUAGAUUCAUAAACAAUGC